GUUAAUACAUUCUUCCUCAACAGGUUAUACUAUGGGACGUUGUUAAUACAAUCUUCCUCAACAGGUUAUACUAUGGGACGUUGUUAAUACAAUCUACCUCAACAGGUUAUACUAUGGGACGUUGUUAAUACAUUCUUCCUCAACAGGUUAUACUAUGGGACGUUGUUAAUACAAUCUUCCUCAACAGGUUAUACUAUGGGACGUUGUUAAUACAAUCUUCCUCAACAGGUUAUACUAUGGGACGUUGUUAAUACAAUCUACCUCAACAGGUUAUACUAUGGGACGUUGUUAAUACAUUCUUCCUCAACAGGUUAUACUAUGGGACGUUGUUAAUACAAUCUUCCUCAACAGGUUAUACUAUGGGACGUUGUUAAUACAAUCUACCUCAACAGGUUAUACUAUGGGACGUUGUUAAUACAUUCUUCCUCAACAGGUUAUACUAUGGGACGUUGUUAAUACAAUCUUCCUCAACAGGUUAUACUAUGGGACGUUGUUAAUACAAUCUACCUCAACAGGUUAUACUAUGGGACGUUGUUAAUACAAUCUACCUCAACAGGUUACACUAUGGGACGUUGUUAAUACAAUCUACCUCAACAGGUUAUACUAUGGGACGUUGUUAAUACAAUUAAAUCAAAGUUAUUUCAGUAGCACUACAGCAUAACCUCAUUUUUAGAACGGUGACUCGAUUAUAUCAUUAAAUUCAAUUCACUUGUAAUUAACCCCAAAAUCAC